AUCCGGCUGACGAAUCCCGAAUAGGACGAGACGCGCGUCCUGGAU
rnacentral:hammerhead_ribozyme from 1 species